UGAGUAUGAUCCAAUUCUUAACUAUAAGGAUGUCAAGUUCAAUCCAUUCCUUAACUAUAAGGAAACAAUGCACAUAUGACCCUUAACUCUAAGGUUGUUAUGUCAUGAUGCCACAAUCCCUCUUUUUCUUGCAUUCUUUGCUUUCACUAGUGUCAUAUACACUACCUUGUUCUUGUACUCAUUCACUAAUGCCACACUUAUUUUCUAAGUGUUUAACUCUAACACUCUUGACUC
rnacentral:lncRNA from 1 species